CUUCGUCCUCUACUCUUUCCUUUUCUCUCUCCCCUCACUCCUGCGCACCACCAGCCGCACAGCCCUCCCCCACGAACAAUCACGAGCAGCAGGGGCUGCGUGGUCUCUUCCAAGCAACAGAGCAGGCCGCGUGUACCCUCACAACAGUCGGUUGUCCCUAGUGCCACCACUCCUUCCCUUGGUCCACCACCAGCACAACAACCACCUACAAUCUUACCUUAAGUUGAAAGGUCCUUCAAUGGUGAUUGAGGAGACGAUAUCAUCGAAGAACCCUUCUAGUUGAUAGCUGGAUUCGUUACCUUGAAGCGACAUCGUCGUUUGAUUACAGAUCGGAACCGGUCGGGAACAAUGGGUUAGCGGUGAUUGAAUAGAGUUUCAAGGAUGUAAAUUGAGCUGAGUACUUAGGAAUUAUAAAUUUGUAUUAGGAAUUUUGGAUAAAUGUAAAUUUGUUUUGGUUGUGCUGGUUAUAUCGGACUUGUAGAGAAUUGUAUGAUUAUCUUGUGUAUUAGUUAGAUGUUGGUUUUGGGAUUUAGCUGCGUUAGUCACGUUGAAGAGCUCGUGACUCCUUUGCUUGAGUUUUGGAAGUGUGAUUUCGAUUUCUUGGGAAACGAAUCCAGUGAUGACCCUGUUUACCCAGUCAACAGUAAGUUGGGUUGUUACAAUUAAAGUAAAUUAUUUUUUAUUUAAUAUUGAAUAUUUUUAUUAUUAAUGUUUGUUUGUAUAAUGUUUUAUUAACCCAAUGUAUCGUUUAUUUCAUAUUUUAUAUUUGUAGGACUUUUAAAAAUUAGGGGACAAUGUAGAUU